rnacentral:rRNA from 1 species
GCCCACUGAAUUUUGAAGGGCCGCAGUAUUCUGACUGUGCAAAGGUAGCAUAAUCAUUUGCCUUUUAAUUAAAGGCUCGUAUGAAUGGUUGAACGAAAUACAAACUGUCUCACUUUAAAAAGUUUAAAAAUUUAGCUUUCAAGUUAAAAGGCUUGAAUAGGGUUAGAGGACGAGAAGACCCUAUAGAACUUUAUAAUAUUUUUUGUGAAUUUAUGUAGUAAAAUAUUUUUUAUCCAUAAAUAUUAUUAUUUUGUUGGGGUGACAGGAAAAUAAGCAAAACUUUUUUGAAUUUUGAACAUUAAUUUAUGAAUAUUUGAUCCAUUAUUAGUGAUUAUUAGAAUAAGUUACCUUAGGGAUAACAGCGUAAUUUUGUUGGAGAGUUCAAAUCGAUAACAAAGUUUGCGACCUCGAUGUUGAAUUAAAGAAAUUUUAGAGUGCAGAAGCUUUAAGUAAUAGGUCU